rnacentral:rRNA from 1 species
AGCGAACGCUGGCGGCAUGCCUAACACAUGCAAGUCGAACGAGACCUUCGGGUCUAGUGGCGCACGGGUGCGUAACGCGUGGGAACCUGCCCUUAGGUUCGGAAUAACUCCCCGAAAGGGGUGCUAAUACCGGAUAAUGUCUUCGGACCAAAGAUUUAUCGCCUUUGGAUGGGCCCGCGUUGGAUUAGCUAGUUGGUAGGGUAAAAGCCUACCAAGGCAACGAUCCAUAGCUGGUCUGAGAGGAUGAUCAGCCACACUGGGACUGAGACACGGCCCAGACUCCUACGGGAGGCAGCAGUGGGGAAUAUUGGAACAUGGGCGGAAGCAUGAUGCAGCAAUGCCGCGUGAGUGAUGAAGGCCUUAGGGUUGUAAAGCUCUUUUACCCGGGAUGAUAAUGACAGUACCGGGAGAAUAAGCUCCGGCUAACUCCGUG